UUCGGGGUACUCGAGUGGCGAACGGGUGAGUAACACGUGGGUGAUCUGCCCUGCACUUUGGGAUAAGCCUGGGAAACUGGGUCUAAUACCGAAUUNNGAGGACCACGCGCUUCAUGGUGUGUGGUGGAAAGCUUUUGCGGUGUGGGAUGGAAGCCCGCGGCCUAGGAUNGNCCUCAGCUUGUUGGUGGGGUAAUGGCCUGACCAAGGCGACGACGGGUAGCCGGCCUGAGAGGGUGACCGGCCACACUGGGACUGAGAUACGGCCCAGACUCCUACGGGAGGCAGCAGUGGGGAAUAUUGCACAAUGGGCGCAAGCCUGAUGCAGCGACGCCGCGUGAGGGAUGACGGCCUUCGGGUUGUAAACCUCUUUCAAUAGGGACGAAGCGUGAGUGACGGUACCUAUAGAAGAAGCACCGGCCAACUACGUGCCAGCAGCCGCGGUAAUACGUAGGGUGCGAGCGUUGUCCGGAAUUACUGGGCGUAAAGAGCUCGUAGGUGGUUUGUCGCGUUGUUCGUGAAAACUCACAGCUUAACUGUGGGCGUGCGGGCGAUACGGGCAGACUAGAGUACUGCAGGGGAGACUGGAAUUCCUGGUGUAGCGGUGGAAUGCGCAGAUAUCAGGAGGAACACCGGUGGCGAAGGCGGGUCUCUGGGCAGUAACUGACGCUGAGGAGCGAAAGCGUGGGGAGCGAACAGGAUUAGAUACCCUGGUAGUCCACGCCGUAAACGGUGGGUACUAGGUGUGGGUUCCUUCCUUGGGAUCCGUGCCGUAGCUAACGCAUUAAGUACCCCGCCUGGGGAGUACGGCCGCAAGGCUAAAACUCAAAGGAAUUGACGGGGGCCCGCACAAGCGGCGGAGCAUGUGGAUUAAUUCGAUGCAACGCGAAGAACCUUACCUGGGUUUGACAUGCACAGGACGCCGGCAGAGAUGUCGGUUCCCUUGUGGCCUGUGUGCAGGUGGUGCAUGGCUGUCGUCAGCUCGUGUCGUGAGAUGUUGGGUUAAGUCCCGCAACGAGCGCAACCCUUGUCCUAUGUUGCCAGCGGGUUAUGCCGGGGACUCGUAGGAGACUGCCGGGGUCAACUCGGAGGAAGGUGGGGAUGACGUCAAGUCAUCAUGCCCCUUAUGUCCAGGGCUUCACACAUGCUACAAUGGCCGGUAYAAAGGGCUGCGAUGCCGUGAGGUGGAGCGAAUCCUUUCAAAGCCGGUCUCAGUUCGGAUCGGGGUCUGCAACUCGACCCCGUGAAGUCGGAGUCGCUAGUAAUCGCAGAUCAGCAACGCUGCGGUGAAUACGUUCCCGGGCCUUGUACACACCGCCCGUCACGUCAUGAAAGUCGGUAACACCCGAAGCCGG
rnacentral:rRNA from 1 species